rnacentral:rRNA from 1 species
GGUUAGUAACGCGUGGGAACAUACCUUUCGGUAAGGAAUAGCCACUGGAAACGGUGAGUAAUACCUUAUACGCCCUUCGGGGGAAAGAUUUAUCGCCGAGAGAUUGGCCCGCGUUAGAUUAGAUAGUUGGUGGGGUAACGGCCUACCAAGUCUACGAUCUAUAGCUGGUUUUAGAGGAUGAUCAGCAACACUGGGACUGAGACACGGCCCAGACUCCUACGGGAGGCAGCAGUGGGGAAUCUUGGACAAUGGGCGCAAGCCUGAUCCAGCCAUGCCGCGUGAGUGAUGAAGGCCUUAGGGUCGUAAAGCUCUUUCGCCAGAGAUGAUAAUGACAGUAUCUGGUAAAGAAACCCCGGCUAACUCCGUGCCAGCAGCCGCGGUAAUACGGAGGGGGUUAGCGUUGUUCGGAAUUACUGGGCGUAAAGCGUACGUAGGCGGACCAUUAAGUUGGGGGUGAAAUCCCGGGGCUCAACCCCGGAACUGCCUCCAAAACUGCUGGUCUUGAGUUCGAGAGAGGUGAGUGGAAUUCCGAGUGUAGAGGUGAAAUUCGUAGAUAUUCGGAGGAACACCAGUGGCGAAGGCGGCUCACUGGCUCGAUACUGACGCCGAGU